GUAGGAAAUCGCGUAGGAAAUAGGAAGGAAAGUUACGAGGAAAUAUUAAACAUAAACAAAUAAGUACUCACUUGUUUCUCUCUCUUCCCCCUCUAUCUCUAUCUCUUUCACGCGUUUCACUUCAAAGACGCGAUCUGGAGUUUAAUCGGAACCAAUCGGACGAGUCUCCGAUGUAGAUACGAAGAAGAUUACUUCAAUUGAGAUUGAGAGGCAUAGAGAGAGAUUUGAUUAUUCGAUCGAAUCAAGCUUGGUCUGAUGCCGCCACUGCCCCUUUUGCGUCUAGGUUUCUCUUCGGAAUGGUUAGUGGAUCGGAAGAGAAUUCCGGCGGACUGGAGGAAGAGGGUGGCUGCGAUCAGAGUCAAAAUCUUAAAAGAGUUCUCUGCUUUGCCUAAGGAGAUCGAUCCAUUCUUUCAAACCCUAGAUCCUGAAGGUGGAGAACAUGGUUCACUAUCUAUCUGAGUUGGGUAUGGUGCAUCUUGACACUACACUUUUCUAUCUUUCGUUGUGGGCUGCAGCGACAAUCUACACUGUGAGAUGCUGCUUGGACAAGAGCCCUCCUUGGACUGAUGCUCUAGAGGUAGUUGAUGUUAAUAAUGUGUGUAGGAGGGUCACAGUCUAGUUGAUCCUGUAAGAGGGUCACAGUCUAGUUGAUCUUGACUUCGAAAACGGGACUGCAGUUCUUGCUAUUUGCCUCCGGAUUCAAGUGAACAAAGAGAUCAAACAAGAGGCAUCGUUUGGAAGCUUUUGUCUAGCCAUCUAGAGGAAAAACUUGUCGCAGCUGAGAUUUUCUUUGUGAAGUUGAACCACCAGGUUAUCCGACAGUCCAGAAUAAGACGACGAAAUCUGGCGAAGACGACGAACACGAGCGUAGAUGACGAUGACGACGAGACUCAAGAGUAGAUCGAUUAGGAUUUGGAUCUUUAUAUUAGAAUGACUUGUACAAUAAAUUUUAAUUUGUAUGGAGUUUAAUUUUAAAUUUAAUUUUAAGUUUCUUUUGAAUUUUAAA